CACGUAGAUGGCUUUGUAAGUCGGAUGUGAAAUCCCCGGGCUCAACCUGGGAACUGCAUUCGAAACUGCAUUGCUCGAAUGUGGAAGAGGGAAGCGGAAUUCCGGGUGUAGCGGUGAAAUGCGUAGAUAUCUGGAGGAACAUCAGUGGCGAAGGCGGCUUCCUGGUCCAACAUUGACAUUCAGGUGCGAAAGCGUGGGGAGCAAACAGGAUUAGAUACCCUGGUAGUCCACGCCAUAAACGAUGAGAACUAGAUGUCGGGAGGGUUAGCCUUCCGGUGUCGCAGCUAACGCGUUAAGUUCUCCGCCUGGGGAGUACGGCCGCAAGGUUGAA
rnacentral:rRNA from 1 species